rnacentral:rRNA from 1 species
CGCGUAGGUGGCCCGGUCAGUCAGUGGUGAAAGCGCGGGGCUCAACUCCGCGUCGGCCAUUGAUACUGCUGGGCUCGAGCACUGUAGAGGCAGGCGGAAUUCCGGGUGUAGCGGUGGAAUGCGUAGAGAUCCGGAAGAACACCGGUGGCGAAGGCGGCCUGCUGGGCAGUAGCUGACACUGAGGCGCGACAGCGUGGGGAGCAAACA